UACGGGGAGGCAGCAGUGGGGAAUAUUGCACAAUGGGGGAAGCCCUGAUGCAGCCAUGCCGCGUGUGUGAAGAAGGCCUUCGGGUUGUAAAGCACUUUCAGUAGGGAGGAAGGUAGUGUAGUUAACACCUGCACUAUUUGACGUUACCUACAGAAGAAGCACCGGCUAACUCCGUGCCAGCAGCCGCGGUAAUACGGAGGGUGCGAGCGUUAAUCGGAAUUACUGGGCGUAAAGCGCAUGCAGGCGGCCUGUUAAGUCAGAUGUGAAAGCCCGGGGCUUAACCUCGGAAUUGCAUUUGAAACUGGCAGGCUAGAGUCUUGUAGAGGGGGGUAGGAAUUUCAGGUGUAGCGGUGAAAUGCGUAGAGAUCUGAAGGAAUACCAGUGGCGAAGGCGGCCCCCUGGACAAAGACUGACGCUCAGAUGCGAAAGCGUGGGGAGCAAACAGGAUUAGAUACCCUGGUAG
rnacentral:rRNA from 1 species